GGGUUGUGAGGUUAAGCGACUAAGCGUACACGGUGGAUGCCCUGGCAGUCAGAGGCGAUGAAGGGCGUGCUAAUCUGCGAUAAGCGCCGGUAAGGUGAUAUGAACCGUUAUAACCGGCGAUACCCGAAUGGGGAAACCCAGUGUGACUCGUCACACUAUCAUUAACUGAAUCCAUAGGUUAAUGAGGCGAACCGGGGGAACUGAAACAUCUAAGUACCCCGAGGAAAAGAAAUCAACCGAGAUUCCCCCAGUAGCGGCGAGCGAACGGGGAGGAGCCCAGAGCCUGAAUCAGCAUGUGUGUUAGUGGAAGCGUCUGGAAAGGCGCGCGAUACAGGGUGACAGCCCCGUACACAAAAGCGCAUGUGCUGUGAGCUCGAUGAGUAGGGCGGGACACGUGGUAUCCUGUCUGAAUAUGGGGGGACCAUCCUCCAAGGCUAAAUACUCCUGACUGACCGAUAGUGAACCAGUACCGUGAGGGAAAGGCGAAAAGAACCCCGGCGAGGGGAGUGAAAAAGAACCUGAAACCGUGUACGUACAAGCAGUGGGAGCACCCUUUUGGGUGUGACUGCGUACCUUUUGUAUAAUGGGUCAGCGACUUAUAUUCUGUAGCAAGGUUAACCGAAUAGGGGAGCCGGAGGGAAACCGAGUCUUAAUUGGGCGUUAAGUUGCAGGGUAUAGACCCGAAACCCGGUGAUCUAGCCAUGGGCAGGUUGAAGGUUGGGUAACACUAACUGGAGGACCGAACCGACUAAUGUUGAAAAAUUAGCGGAUGACCUGUGGCUGGGGGUGAAAGGCCAAUCAAACCGGGAGAUAGCUGGUUCUCCCCGAAAGCUAUUUAGGUAGCGCCUCGUGAAUUCAUCUCCGGGGGUAGAGCACUGUUUCGGCUAGGGGGCCAUCCCGGCUUACCAACCCGAUGCAAACUGCGAAUACCGGAGAAUGUUAUCACGGGAGACACACGGCGGGUGCUAACGUCCGUCGUGAAGAGGGAAACAACCCAGACCGCCAGCUAAGGUCCCAAAGUCAUGGUUAAGUGGGAAACGAUGUGGGAAGGCCCAGACAGCCAGGAUGUUGGCUUAGAAGCAGCCAUCAUUUAAAGAAAGCGUAAUAGCUCACUGGUCGAGUCGGCCUGCGCGGAAGAUGUAACGGGGCUAAACCAUGCACCGAAGCUGCGGCAGCGACACUAUGUGUUGUUGGGUAGGGGAGCGUUCUGUAAGCCUGUGAAGGUGUGCUGUGAGGCAUGCUGGAGGUAUCAGAAGUGCGAAUGCUGACAUAAGUAACGAUAAAGCGGGUGAAAAGCCCGCUCGCCGGAAGACCAAGGGUUCCUGUCCAACGUUAAUCGGGGCAGGGUGAGUCGACCCCUAAGGCGAGGCCGAAAGGCGUAGUCGAUGGGAAACGGGUUAAUAUUCCCGUACUUGGUGUUACUGCGAAGGGGGGACGGAGAAGGCUAUGUUGGCCGGGCGACGGUUGUCCCGGUUUAAGCGUGUAGGCUGGUUUUCCAGGCAAAUCCGGAAAAUCAAGGCUGAGGCGUGAUGACGAGGCACUACGGUGCUGAAGCAACAAAUGCCCUGCUUCCAGGAAAAGCCUCUAAGCAUCAGGUAACAUCAAAUCGUACCCCAAACCGACACAGGUGGUCAGGUAGAGAAUACCAAGGCGCUUGAGAGAACUCGGGUGAAGGAACUAGGCAAAAUGGUGCCGUAACUUCGGGAGAAGGCACGCUGACACGUAGGUGAAGUGAUUUACUCAUGGAGCUGAAGUCAGUCGAAGAUACCAGCUGGCUGCAACUGUUUAUUAAAAACACAGCACUGUGCAAACACGAAAGUGGACGUAUACGGUGUGACGCCUGCCCGGUGCCGGAAGGUUAAUUGAUGGGGUCAGCGCAAGCGAAGCUCCUGAUCGAAGCCCCGGUAAACGGCGGCCGUAACUAUAACGGUCCUAAGGUAGCGAAAUUCCUUGUCGGGUAAGUUCCGACCUGCACGAAUGGCGUAAUGAUGGCCAGGCUGUCUCCACCCGAGACUCAGUGAAAUUGAACUCGCUGUGAAGAUGCAGUGUACCCGCGGCAAGACGGAAAGACCCCGUGAACCUUUACUAUAGCUUGACACUGAACAUUGAGCCUUGAUGUGUAGGAUAGGUGGGAGGCUUUGAAGUGUGGACGCCAGUCUGCAUGGAGCCGACCUUGAAAUACCACCCUUUAAUGUUUGAUGUUCUAACGUGGACCCGUGAUCCGGGUUGCGGACAGUGUCUGGUGGGUAGUUUGACUGGGGCGGUCUCCUCCUAAAGAGUAACGGAGGAGCACGAAGGUUGGCUAAUCCUGGUCGGACAUCAGGAGGUUAGUGCAAUGGCAUAAGCCAGCUUGACUGCGAGCGUGACGGCGCGAGCAGGUGCGAAAGCAGGUCAUAGUGAUCCGGUGGUUCUGAAUGGAAGGGCCAUCGCUCAACGGAUAAAAGGUACUCCGGGGAUAACAGGCUGAUACCGCCCAAGAGUUCAUAUCGACGGCGGUGUUUGGCACCUCGAUGUCGGCUCAUCACAUCCUGGGGCUGAAGUAGGUCCCAAGGGUAUGGCUGUUCGCCAUUUAAAGUGGUACGCGAGCUGGGUUUAGAACGUCGUGAGACAGUUCGGUCCCUAUCUGCCGUGGGCGCUGGAGAACUGAGGGGGGCUGCUCCUAGUACGAGAGGACCGGAGUGGACGCAUCACUGGUGUUCGGGUUGUCAUGCCAAUGGCACUGCCCGGUAGCUAAAUGCGGAAGAGAUAAGUGCUGAAAGCAUCUAAGCACGAAACUUGCCCCGAGAUGAGUUCUCCCUGAGACUUUAAGUCUCCUGAAGGAACGUUGAAGACGACGACGUUGAUAGGCCGGGUGUGUAAGCGCAGCGAUGCGUUGAGCUAACCGGUACUAAUGAACCGUGAGGCUUAACCUUACAACGCCGAAG
rnacentral:rRNA from 1 species